ACGAGCGCAACCCCUNUCCUUAGUUGCCACCAGGUAAUGCUGAGNACUCUAGGGAGACUGCCCGGGUUAACCCGGAGGAAGGUGGGGACGACGUCAAGUCAUCAUGGCCCUUAUGCCUGGGGCUNCACACGUNCUACAAUGGUGNNUACAAAGGGUUGCNAAACCGUGAGGUGGAGCUAAUCCCAUAAAGUGNNUCCCAGUNCGGAUUGGAGUCUGCAACUCGACUCCUUGAAGUCGGAAUCGCUAGUAAUCCCGGAUCAGCNUGCCCGGGUGAAUGCCUUCCCNGACCUUGGACACNCCGCCCGU
rnacentral:rRNA from 1 species